rnacentral:rRNA from 1 species
AUUGAACGCUGGCGGCAUGCUUUACACAUGCAAGUCGAACGGCAGCGCGGGCUUCGGCCUGGCGGCGAGUGGCGAACGGGUGAGUAAUGCAUCGGAACGUGCCCAGUAGUGGGGGAUAGCCCGGCGAAAGCCGGAUUAAUACCGCAUACGACCUGAGGGUGAAAGCGGGGGACCGAAAGGCCUCGCGCUAUUGGAGCGGCCGAUGUCGGAUUAGCUAGUUGGUGGGGUAAAGGCUUACCAAGGUGACGAUCCGUAGCUGGUCUGAGAGGACGACCAGCCACACUGGGACUGAGACACGGCCCAGACUCCUACGGGAGGCAGCAGUGGGGAAUUUUGGACAAUGGGGGCAACCCUGAUCCAGCCAUGCCGCGUGCGGGAAGAAGGCCUUCGGGUUGUAAACCGCUUUUGUUCGGGAAGAAAUCCUCUGGGCUAAUACCCCGGGGGGAUGACGGUACCGGAAGAAUAAGCACCGGCUAACUACGU